rnacentral:misc_RNA from 1 species
GAAAUGCGAUAAGUAAUGUGAAUUGCAGAAUUCAGUGAAUCAUCGAAUCUUUGAACGCACAUUGCGCCGGCCAGUAUUCUGGCGGGCAUGCCUGUUCGAGCGUCAUUUCAACCAUCAAGCCCCCGGGCUUGUGUUGGGGACCUGCGGCUGCCGCAGGCCCCGAAAACCAGUGGCGGGCUCGCUGUCACACCGGGCGUAGUAGAUUUUUCGUCUCGCCCAGGGCGUGCUGCGGGUUCCGGCCGUUAAAAAGCCUCUCUUUUUAACCCAAGGUUGACCUCGGAUCAGGUAGGAAGACCCGCUGAACUUAAGC